AAUGAACGCUGGCGGCGUGCCUAACACAUGCAAUGCAGUACGAGAAAGGGGCUUCGGCCCUGAGUAGAGUGGCGCACGGGUGAGUAACGCGUGGGUAAUCUACCCUUGGAUUUGGGAUAACUUCGCGAAAGCGGAGCUAAUACCGGAUAGUCUGGCUUUAAUUAAGAAGUCGGUAAAGGAUGCCUCUGCAUAUGCAUUCGUCCGAGGAUGAGCCCGCGUCUCAUUAGCUAGUUGGUAGGGUAAUGGCCUACCAAGGCAACGAUGAGUAGCUGGUCUGAGAGGAUGAUCAGCCACACUGGAACUGAAACACGGUCCAGACUCCUACGGGAGGCAGCAGUGGGGAAUAUUGCGCAAUGGGCGAAAGCCUGACGCAGCAACGCCGUGUGAGGGAUGAAGGCUUUCGGGUCGUAAACCUCUGUCGGAAGGGAAGAACGGGCAUUGGUCUAAUAGGCCUUUGUUUUGACGGUACCUUUAGAGGAAGCACCGGCUAACUCCGUGCCAGCAGCCGCGGUAAUACGGAGGGUGCAAGCGUUAUUCGGAAUUACUGGGCGUAAAGCGCACGUAGGCGGCUUCGUAAGUCAGGGGUGAAAUCCCACGGCUCAACCGUGGAACUGCCUUUGAAACUGCAAAGCUUGAAUCCUGGAGAGGGUGGCGGAAUUCCUGGUGUAGGAGUGAAAUCCGUAGAUAUCAGGAGGAACACCGGUGGCGAAGGCGGCCACCUGGACAGGCAUUGACGCUGAGGUGCGAAAGUGUGGGGAGCAAACAGGAUUAGAUACCCUGGUAGUCCACACCGUAAACGAUGGAUACUAGGUGUCGGGGACUUGAUCUUCGGUGCCGUAGCUAACGCGUUAAGUAUCCCGCCUGGGGAGUACGGUCGCAAGGCUGAAACUCAAGAAAUUGACGGGGGCCCGCACAAGCGGUGGAGUAUGUGGUUUAAUUCGAUGCAACGC
rnacentral:rRNA from 1 species